UACGGAGGGGGCCAGCGUUGUUCGGAAUCAUUGGGCGUAAAGGGCGCGUAGGCGGCCGACCAAGUCGGAGGUGAAAUCCCUCGGCUCAACUGAGGAAUUGCCUCCGAUACUGUUCGGCUUGAGUCCUGGAGAGGGUAGUGGAAUUCCCAGUGUAGCGGUGAAAUUCGUAGAUAUUGGGAAGAACACCGGUGGCGAAGGCGGCGACCUGGUCCGUGACUGACGCUGAGGCGCGAAAGCGUGGGGAGCAAACAGG
rnacentral:rRNA from 1 species